AUGACUGCUUGAUUGUAUUUGUUUGUGUUUUUAAAAUUGUAUUUUUAUGUUUCCAGUCUUAUUUUUAAUAUUUCUAAAGUACGGAAAAUAUCAAACGAAGAGAUAACCAAGUUAAAGAAAAACAAUGAAGAAUUCCUAAUCAUACCGAUAGUAUUAAAGAAUGAAGUCUUCAAAAUUAACAGAAUAACCGAACUCCACUACCUACCCCAUAAUGCGAGGUUUACAGUAAUUAUUCAACUUACAUGAAGCAGUCAGAAAGUUUAUUGAGAUUUGAGAAAUAAAGUUACACUCAUAAGUAGCAAAACAGUGGAUGAAGAAGUGUGGGAUUAUGAGUGAUUAUUUCAUUCUAAAGCAGACAUAAUCAAGUCUUGCUCACUAUCAUGAAAAUUUACAAUAACAAUCAGCAAGAAAAACUUCAAGGGUACUGGCUAGGCUAACCAAUUCAUGGAAUUCUGUUUGUAUUUGAAAUUAUAAAUAGCUAUUGUAAAACAAAAGUUUUCCAAAUAAAGAUUUUGUAAAUAAUG